GCCCGGAUGGCGGAAUUGGUAGACGCAAGGGACUUAAAAUCCCUCGGUCGCAAGGCUGUGCCGGUUCGAGCCCGGCUCCGGGCACCA
rnacentral:tRNA from 1 species